GCGAGGUAGAGCAAAUCUCAAAAAAACAUCUCAGUUCAGACUGCAGGCUGCAACUCGCCUGCACGAAGUCGGAAUUGCUAGUAAUCGUAGGUCAGCAUACUACGGUGAAUACGUUCCCGGGCCUUGUACACACCGCCCGUCAAACCAUGAGAGUUGGCAACACCCGAAGUCGGUAGUCUAACCGCAAGGAGGACGCCGCCGAAGGUGGGGUUGAUGAUUAGGGUUAAGUCGUAACAAGGUACC
rnacentral:rRNA from 1 species